rnacentral:rRNA from 1 species
AAUCUGAAGACCCCAACGCACUUACUGGUUGAGUGCCCAUGGGCUUGGUGCAUUUGGGAUCAGAUUGCUGCUCAGGCAGGCAUGCAACAUCUACAGCCGGCAAACUGGCCGGCGAUUGGCAACCUGAAGGGAUGGAUGUCCAUUUGCUGGCACAAUGCACCAAAAGAAAAGAAAAAAGGCACUAUAUCGAUGAUCCAUCUGGUCGCCUGGGAGAUAUGGAAAGAACGCAAUAGACGUGUAUUUCAGCAGCGAGAAAUGACGACCACCCAACUGAUUAGGAUUGUUAGAGAGGAGAUUAAUUUGUGGAAUUUGGCAGGUGCCAAAAUCCCAUUUGAUCCGGGCUGA